UACAGAGGUCUCAAGCGUUGUUCGGAUUCAUUGGGCGUAAAGGGUGCGUAGGUGGCGCCGUAAGUCAGGUGUGAAAUUUCGGAGCUUAACUCCGAAACUGCAUUUGAUACUGCGGUGCUUGAGGACUGGAGAGGAGACUGGAAUUUACGGUGUAGCAGUGAAAUGCGUAGAGAUCGUAAGGAAGACCAGUGGCGAAGGCGGGUCUGCUGGACGAGUUC
rnacentral:rRNA from 1 species